rnacentral:rRNA from 1 species
CCUACGGGUGGCAGCAGUGGGGAAUAUUGGACAAUGGGCGAAAGCCUGAUCCAGCCAUGCCGCGUGUGUGAAGAAGGCCUUCGGGUUGUAAAGCACUUUCAGUGGGGAAGAAAGCCUUGGGGCUAAUACCCUCGAGGAAGGACAUCACCCACAGAAGAAGCACCGGCUAACUCCGUGCCAGCAGCCGCGGUAAUACGGAGGGUGCGAGCGUUAAUCGGAAUUACUGGGCGUAAAGCGCGCGUAGGCGGUCUGAUAAGCCGGUUGUGAAAGCCCCGGGCUCAACCUGGGAACGGCAUCCGGAACUGUCAGGCUAGAGUGCAGGAGAGGAAGGUAGAAUUCCCGGUGUAGCGGUGAAAUGCGUAGAGAGCGGGAGGAAUACCAGUGGCGAAGGCGGCCUUCUGGACUGACACUGACGCUGAGGUGCGAAAUCGUGGGUAGCAAACAGGAUUAGAUACCCCAGUAGUC